CUUCAAAGCCGCUCGAAGAGAAUCAACACAAAAUCAACAGACAACAGGUGCUUCUUCCAUUCACACAAAUCAAAUCCUCAGAGCCUGAAAAUAAAGAAAUAAAAAGUAGAUAAUUACCAAAUGACAAAAUACAGGAAGAACUAAUAAAAUCACAAACUGAGGGCUAGGUUGUCUGAAAACUUCGCACUUUUCAGUCGUGAGUUUCUUUGUCU
rnacentral:lncRNA from 1 species